AGCGAACGCUGGCGGCAGGCUUAACACAUGCAAGUCGAGCGGGCAUCCUUGUGGUGUCCGCGGCAGACGGGUGAGUAACGCGUGGGAACGUGCCCUUCGGUUCGGAAUAACUCAGGGAAACUUGAGCUAAUACCGGAUACGCCCUUUUGGGGAAAGGUUUACUGCCGAAGGAUCGGCCCGCGUCUGAUUAGCUAGUUGGUGAGGUUACGGCUCACCAAGGCGACGAUCAGUAGCUGGUCUGAGAGGAUGAUCAGCCACACUGGGACUGAGACACGGCCCAGACUCCUACGGGAGGCAGCAGUGGGGAAUAUUGGACAAUGGGGGCAACCCUGAUCCAGCCAUGCCGCGUGAGUGAUAACAGCCUUAGGGUUGUAAAGCUCUUUUCUCCGGGACGAUAAUGACGGUACCGGAGGAAUAAGCCCCGGCUAACUUCGUG
rnacentral:rRNA from 1 species